GGGAGGGGAUGUGAUUGAUGGUUGCAUUAGGAGCUGACCUGCCAGGCAAUCACCCCGGGCAUUGAUUUGUCACUGCACCAGCACCAGCAGCUGCCACACCAGCCCCUCCCUCCCCCACCAUGAUGAAAAACAAACCCAAAACUUUUUAAAGACUCACCACUGGCAGGAAAGACCAGAAAAGCAGCUUCUGACCCCUGGGGACCCUCAGCUGUGCCUCUCACAAAGCCAGGGUGUGAAACACCACGAAAUAGGAGGAAAUUAAAAGCAUUCCUGAUAUUAUCAACACAGGGAGUAUAUUUAGCAUACAAACCCCUUCGGAGGCCGCGGUGACAACAUCCAAGUGUCCAGUCAUCAGAGCACAGGGGAGGUGCUGGCUCUGCCUGAGGAGCAUCACCACCCUGCAGAUGAAAUCAGGCAGGUGCAGCCUCAGAGGAGCCCUCACACCCUGCCAGCCCUCAGAAAUGAUGCUGAUUCAAUUUUAAAUUCAAGUGAUACCAGGUUGACACAAAG